UAAGGGGACCUGCGGAAGGAUCAUUG
rnacentral:rRNA from 1 species